UUCCUUGGAAGACAGGAUGAGAGCUGGGGUUGUUCAGCCUGGAGAAGAGAAGGCUCCAGGGACGCCUUAUAACAGCCUUCCAACACCUAAAAGGGCCAAAAAGAAAGCUGGAGAGGGACUUUUUA